GGUUGAGCCCAUUAAUUUCAAAGGACAGCCUCGCUCUGCUGCAAAGAAGAUCCAUCAGAGACCAGACUUCCCUGUACCUGAGCCCAGCUGUGUGUCCAUGAAGACUGACAGGUCAAUGGGUCUCCCCAUUGAUUUCAAAGGACAGCCUCCCUCUGCUGCAAAGAAAGUGGACCAGGAGAGCUCAGAGGUUCCCAGUGCUCAGUCUGCCCAGCAGCAUCAAACACA